AUGCGCGCGCUCCUGGCGCCCUCCCUACUGGAGCGGACGGAUAUGAUAGCGGAGCCAGCGUUGGGUGUCCUGGCCGACGUGGCGGCGGCGAGCGCGGCGGGGAGGUGGGAGAUGGCAGAGGAUGAGGAAGCGCCUAGAGCGCUGGUGGAGGCCAUGGCAUGGCACGGGAGCGCGGGGUGCCAGGAGUACGCGACGUACCUGGUUAUGGCGCUCGAGCACGAAAGCGGCCGUCGGGCGCUGCGGUGGAGGAUGCGCCAGCUCGGUGCCGUGCAGGCGCUCCUCGAGGUGUCUUGCUGCUCGGCAGCCCCCUCGCACACAGCAGGGCGGCCAAGAUCCUGCAGUGGUUCAAGGACGACGGGCAGGACAGGAUGA
rnacentral:rRNA from 1 species